rnacentral:rRNA from 1 species
AGAACGAACGCUGGCGGCAUGCCUAACACAUGCAAGUCGAACGAAGCCUUCGGGCUUAGUGGCGCACGGGUGCGUAACACGUGGGAAUCUGCCCUUAGGUACGGAAUAACUCAGGGAAACUUGAGCUAAUACCGUAUGAUGUCUUCGGACCAAAGAUUUAUCGCCUAAGGAUGAGCCCGCGUCGGAUUAGCUAGUUGGUGGGGUAAAGGCCUACAAGGCGACGAUCCGUAGCUGGUCUGAGAGGAUGAUCAGCCACACUGGGACUGAGACACGGCCCAGACUCCUACGGGAGGCAGCAGUGGGGAAUAUUGGACAAUGGGCGAAAGCCUGAUCCAGCAAUGCCGCGUGAGUGAAGAAGGCCUUCGGGUGUAAAGCUCUUUUACCCGGGAAGAUAAUGACUGUACCGGAGAAUAAGCCCCGGCUAACUCCGCGCCAGCAGCCGC